UGCCGCGGCCGCGCGCUCCCUCGAGGGGGCGUGUCCUUUCCGGGCGGCUCGGGCCGGGAGGGUCCCUGUCAACUCGCUUCGUUGAGCCGGUGGCGGUGAGGAAGCGUUGCGCUCCCUGUGGGGCGGGCUCCACCUGCCUGCGGUUAGAUGGAGGAUCACUUUGUUCCGAGAAAUCCCGGGCGUGCGAAGGAGGAUGUGAAACGGAACGACCCGUUUCUGUGCGGUCGGCUUUGUUUAUUUGCCUCCUCACAAGACGCCUCCUGUCCCUGACGCCACCGAACCCCAAGGGGCGGCAAACGGCUGCUAUGGCCGCUGCGGCCAGACGGGGUCGCCAGCUCCGUACCCAACGGCCCGGCCCGGCAGCACCAGGGAUCGCCUGCCCCAACCGGGUAGAAGGCAUAUUCCUCUUUCAGAUGACCUACCUUUGGGGUUUUUUGACGGAAAGGCGCCGAUAGAUACGUUUUAAAGCCCACAGACACCGUAGUAAUUAAUUGACUCAAUACUUGUCGAGCGCCUAUUGCCCGGCGCGUGCUAGGCUUCGGCUGCAGCUCUGACCAGCCCAGACACCCACCAAGCAGCGUGCAGGGCACCACAUGCUCUCCUCUGAAAUACAUACCCCUCGAGACUCGGCCGUAUUGUCCGGAUUGUCAAAUGCCUUUAUGAAUGAGGGUGGAGGUGGACCUCAUGACAAAAAUGAAAAUGAGCAUGAUGUGGAAAAUAUGAAGAUGGAAUCUACAAGAUAGGGAUGCUGAGCAGAAAGAUAAGAGUUUGAGUCACUCGACAUCUUGAAGCUGCUGCAGCAGUUCUAGACUGGCUACAUCUGGACUUACUUUUAUGUCUGAAAAACCCCAAUUUGGUUUUCUGUUAUGUGAGGCUAUCAUGUUGUCUUCCAACUAUUCUUCCUGCUUGCAGGCUCUACCAGUUGGAUAGUAAUAUGAUAUAGCAUGUGAGAGAUAUAAAAGCUGUCACAAAGCAA